UGUCCAGACUCCUACGGGAGGCAGCAGUGGGGAAUAUUGCACAAUGGGGGAAACCCUGAUGCAGCGACGCCGCGUGAGUGAAGAAGUAUUUCGGUAUGUAAAGCUCUAUCAGCAGGGAAGAAAAUGACGGUACCUGCAAAGGAAGCACCGGCUAACUCCGUGCCAGCAGCCGCGGUAAUACGUAGGGGGCAAGCGUUAUCCGGAUUUACUGGGUGUAAAGGGAGCGUAGACGGCGAUGCAAGUCUGAAGUGAAAGGCGGGGGCCCAACCCCCGGACUGCUUUGGAAACUGUAUGGCUGGAGUGCAGGAGAGGUAAGUGGAAUUCCUAGUGUAGCGGUGAAAUGCGUAGAUAUUAGGAGGAACACCAGUGGCGAAGGCGGCUUACUGGACUGUAACUGACGUUGAGGCUCGAAAGCGUGGGGAGCAAACAGGAUUAGAUACCCCAGUACCG
rnacentral:rRNA from 1 species